rnacentral:rRNA from 1 species
UGGUCAAGUUAUUAAGGGUGCAGGGCGGAUGCCUUGGCACUAGGAGCCGAUGAAGGACGUGAUAAGCUGCGAUAAGCUUCGGGGAGUUGCACGUAAACUUUGAUCCGAAGAUUUCCGAAUGAGGAAACUCACUUAGAGUAAUGUCUAAGUAUCAUUAAGUGAAUACAUAGCUUAAUGAGGGGAACUCAGGGAACUGAAACAUCUAAGUACCUGAAGGAAGAGAAAGAAAUUCGAUUCCGUAAGUAGCGGCGAGCGAACGCGGAUUAGCCCAAACCAAUAAAGUUUUCUUUAUUGGGGUU